GUCAUCUGUGGGCCUGCUCACGCGGUAAUUCCAGGUCGGCAAGCUGUAAUCUGAGUUAAUGGGCGUAGCGCGCACCUAGGUGGCUUGGUAAGUUGGAUGUGUAAUCCCCUGGCUUAACUUGGGAAUUGCAUUCAAGACUGCCUUGCUAGAGUGUGGAAUAGGGAAGCGGAAUUCCAGGUGUAGCGGUUAAAUGCGUAGAUAUCUGGAGGAACAUCAGUGGCGAAGUCGGCUUCCUGGUCCAACACUGACACUGAGGUGCGAAAGCGUGGGGAGCAAACAGGAUUAGAUACCCCGGUAGUC
rnacentral:rRNA from 1 species